UAUUUCGAUAUUCGACGUCAUAAACACGAUCAACUUUGGUGUUUAUGACGGCGAUAUUCGAAGUGAUAAACACGAUCAACUUUAGUGUAUAUAACGUCGAUAUUCGAAGUGACAAACACGAUCAACUUUGGUGUAUUAGACGUCGAUAUUCGACGUCAUAAACACGAUCAUCUUUGGUGUUUAUGACGUCGAUAUUCGACUUCAUAAACACGAUCAACUUUGGUGUUUAUGACGUCGAUAUUCGAAGUG
rnacentral:miRNA from 1 species